UACGUAGGUGGCAAGCGUUGUCCGGAUUUACUGGGCGUAAAGGGCGUGCAGGCGGUUUGUUAAGUGCAGGGUGAAAGCUCCCGGCUCAACUGGGAGAGGUCCUUGCAUACUGGCAAACUCGAGGGAGGCAGAGGAAAGUGGAAUUCCCGGUGUAGUGGUGAUAUGCGUAGAUAUCGGGAGGAACACCUGUGGCGAAGGCGGCUUCCUGGACCGAUACUGACGCUGAGGCGCGAAAGCUAGGGGAGCAAACGGG
rnacentral:rRNA from 1 species